UGUCUCCACCCGAGACUCAGUGAAAUUGAACUCGCUGUGAAGAUGCAGUGUACCCGCGGCAAGACGGAAAGACCCCGUGAACCUUUACUAUAGCUUGACACUGAACAUUGAGCCUUGAUGUGUAGGAUAGGUGGGAGGCUUUGAAGCGUGGACGCCAGUCUGCGUGGAGCCGACCUUGAAAUACCACCCUUUAAUGUUUGAUGUUCUAACGUGGAUCCGUAAUCCGGGUUGCGGACAGUGUCUGGUGGGUAGUUUGACUGGGGCGGUCUCCUCCUAAAGAGUAACGGAGGAGCACGAAGGUUGGCUAAUCCUGGUCGGACAUCAGGAGGUUAGUGCAAUGGCAUAAGCCAGCUUGACUGCGAGCGUGACGGCGCGAGCAGGUGCGAAAGCAGGUCAUAGUGAUCCGGUGGUUCUGAAUGGAAGGGCCAUCGCUCAACGGAUAAAAGGUACUCCGGGGAUAACAGGCUGAUACCGCCCAAGAGUUCAUAUCGACGGCGGUGUUUGGCACCUCGAUGUCGGCUCAUCACAUCCUGGGGCUGAAGUAGGUCCCAAGGGUAUGGCUGUUCGCCAUUUAAAGUGGUACGCGAGCUGGGUUUAGAACGUCGUGAGACAGUUCGGUCCCUAUCUGCCGUGGGCGCUGGAGAACUGAGGGGGGCUGCUCCUAGUACGAGAGGACCGGAGUGGACGCAUCACUGGUGUUCGGGUUGUCAUGCCAAUGGCACUGCCCGGUAGCUAAAUGCGGAAGAGAUAAGUGCUGAAAGCAUCUAAGCACGAAACUUGCCCCGA
rnacentral:rRNA from 2 species